UAUAGGUCAAGAAACAACAAAAUCGAUCAGGGGAAUUAGAUGAUGCAACAUGCAUGGAGGUCUGUGCCCACCACCGGAUGGUGUACAACGAGAGUAAGACCCAUCAGGUGGUAUGCAGUAAACUUGUUUUGUUUAGCGUUGUAAAUUUGUGAACUAAAUGGUACUCUUGUAAAUAGAUAUAUUAUAUGGUCACCAUGUGGUACUCUUGUGAAUUUGUGAAGUACUAGAAGACAAAGAUGUCAGUAUGUGGUGCACC